ensembl:snRNA U1 U1 spliceosomal RNA
AUACUUACUUGGUAGGGGAUCAGGAAAGUGGUGAGGCCAGGGUGAGGCUUAUCCAUUGUACUCUGGAUGUGCAGACCCUUCAAUUUCCCCAAUUGGAGGAAAUGCAACUGCAUAAUUUGUGGCAGUGCAUGUGUGUGGGGAGUGCUGUGUUCAUGCU